rnacentral:rRNA from 1 species
UGGGGAAUUUUGGACAAUGGGCGCAAGCCUGAUCCAGCCAUGCCGCGUGCAGGAUGAAGGCCUUCGGGUUGUAAACUGCUUUUGUACGGAACGAAAAGGUGCCUUCUAAUAAAGGGCGCUCAUGACGGUACCGUAAGAAUAAGCACCGGCUAACUACGUGCCAGCAGCCGCGGUAAUACGUAGGGUGCGAGCGUUAAUCGGAAUUACUGGGCGUAAAGCGUGCGCAGGCGGUUUUGUAAGACAGAGGUGAAAUCCCCGGGCUCAACCUGGGAACUGCCGUUGUGACUGCAAGGCUGGAGUGCGGCAGAGGGUGAUGGAAUUCCGCGUGUAGCAGUGAAAUGCGUAGAUAUGCGGAGGAACACCGACGGCGAAGGCAAUCCCCUGGGCCUGCACUGACGCUCAUGCACGAAAGCGUGGGGAGCAAACA